UGUGCUGCCGGGCUUGAAAACGAAGCCCUGCCCACUCAUUGCCGCAGGCACUUUUGGUUCUUGUGCAGUAGUCGAACCGACCAUCAUCUGAGACGCUGCUGAACGUGGAAACUCUCUGCUCCUACAGAUUCUACAUCUUUUUCAAGUUUCAUCAGGAAAUCGCACCUACACAGGAGUAAAAUGAUUAUCCAAUUUGAUAUGAGAAUAUCUGAAUGCUGUUCCAAACCGUACCUCUGUGAAAAGGUGAGCAAGUGACAGUACAGCUUUCUGAGAAAAGCUGAAGAGGCAAAUUGCUGACUGUGAUACAAGUUGCAGCUAGGCAUCAACAGCUGUGAUCCCUAAGGCAGAACCAAGAAGGUACAAAGGAAAGCGUAAGUACCAGCUUAUAAAAUGCUAAGUUUUUGAGUAUUUGGGACAUAUAAG